GAAGAAGGAGAGCAGCAAGGGCUCAUCUGAACAGCAGACGUGGACGUUAUGUACCCGCUCGUGGGGACACUCGGUGCCCGACUUUCCCGGUGGUCACGGCUCGGUGGCUUCUUUGUUUUUGUCCAAUCGGACCACCACACCGCUAGCGAGCUGAGCAAAAACACCAGGCUGCUCAGCGGCGGAUCUCACCCCGCUGACCUCGCUGCUACGAUGCGCCUGCCAUCCCUGACGGGACUCGGGGAGGGAAUUACCAGGCGGAGAUCAGAGUCAUGUCCCGGACUGUCCGAGGGGACCGAGUCGGUCCUUUGUUCUCCAAAUCGCUCCCGACUGGGAAUUCAGACAAUUCUUUCUAAUUAGUGUCCUGUUGUUGCCCUCUUUUCAACCUGCGAGCGAGAGGCAGGGUUCACCUUCACUGUGUUGGGUUUGUCUUGUCAAUAACACCGUGGCUUCCGUGGGAGUUAUCCCCACUUUGAGGUGGGUAUGGAUGAUUCGUAGCAAAUUUACCAAACAGCAUAAUCAAGAGCACAGCUUAUUACUUGCAGCAUUUUACGCCUGUUUUUUGUUUGUUUGGGGUUUUUUUUUUAGUUUUUUACACACGGGUUUAAUCCACAUCCAUAACAUAAUGUGUGUUUAUUCACUGUAAUAAAAUGAUAAUAAUAAGGUGACUUAUUUUUAUACAAACAUCACACUGAAUUUCUAUGUAAUGAAACCCUCCAGUUCAGCCAAAUAACCCAAUAAAGGCUAAUUCAGCAUUCCUCAUUGCACUCUCCAACUACAGCACAACAAGCAGCUAAUGUGCAGAACAAUGUGUCCAGGUUCAGAGACAUAUCUGUUUAUUUCUAGGUUAGGCUUGUCACAUGGAUAGGAACAGAUGGGACCAUUUGGUAGAUUAUGUUUUUUUGUUUUUUUAUAGCAUAUACACCAACUGUGUUCUUUGAGGAUGAUCCAACUGUAUGUUCCAGGCUUUUGGAAAAAGUACUGAAAACCAUGAUUUAUGACCUAAAAACGCUGCUGAGUCAAUAUAAUACCACAGUCAUUUUUUUUAUCUUACUAACGCUGUUUUUUUUGUGUUGUUGUCGUUGUUGGGUUUUUUUUUAUUCCACCCAGCAGAUAUUAUAGAGGGAGAACAUUUGUUAUCCUUGACUCUCAUCCAGGCUGCUAGUGUUUUUCUUCUUGUUGUUCGCCCCUUAUCUUCCCCCCUCAGCGCCCUAUCUCACAUCAACCUCUAGCUGUGUGGCUGUCCAAAUACUAUCUUUUCUAAGGCUUGGGUUAAUUCUGUCCUAUCAGCUGAAGGAUCAGCAGGACAACAGCCCCAAACAUACAGCCAAAGUCACUGAGAACCAGCGUAAAGAAGAUCAAGAAGUACUGGAAGUGAUGGUAUGGCCCCCACGGAGCCCUGAUGUCAACAUCAUCAAGUGUGUCUGGGAUUACAUGAUAACCACAGAUGAUGUUUGGAACAACCUACCAGCUGAGUUCACUCAAAAACUGUGUGCAAGUGUACCAAGAAGAAUUGAUGUUGUUUUGAAGGCAAAGGGUGGUCACACUAAAUAUUGAUUUGAGUUAAAUUUCUCUUUUGUUCAUUCAUUGCAUUUUGUUGAUUGAUGAAAAUAAAUGACUAAUACUUC
ensembl:lncRNA